rnacentral:rRNA from 1 species
CCUACGGGAGGCUGCAGUGGGGAAUAUUGCACAAUGGGCGCAAGCCUGAUGCAGCCAUGCCGCGUGUGUGAAGAAGGCCUUCGGGUUGUAAAGCACUUUCAGCGGGGAGGAAGGCGUUAAGGUUAAUAACCUCGGCGAUUGACGUUACCCGCAGAAGAAGCACCGGCUAACUCCGUGCCAGCAGCCGCGGUAAUACGGAGGGUGCAAGCGUUAAUCGGAAUUACUGGGCGUAAAGCGCACGCAGGCGGUCUGUCAAGUCGGAUGUGAAAUCCCCGGGCUCAACCUGGGAACUGCAUUCGAAACUGGCAGGCUAGAGUCUUGUAGAGGGGGGUAGAAUUCCAGGUGUAGCGGUGAAAUGCGUAGAGAUCUGGAGGAAUACCGGUGGCGAAGGCGGCCCCCUGGACAAAGACUGACGCUCAGGUGCGAAAGCGUGGGGAGCAAACAGGAUUAGAUACCCCGGUAGUC